GAAGGUAUAGCUCAGUGGUAGAGUGCCUGCUUAGCAUGCACGAGGUCCUGGGUUCAAUCCCCAGUGCCUCCA
rnacentral:tRNA from 1 species